rnacentral:rRNA from 1 species
GACGAACGCUGGCGGCGUGCUUAACACAUGCAAGUCGAACGGAAAGGCCCUGCUUUUGUGGGGUGCUCGAGUGGCGAACGGGUGAGUAACACGUGAGUAACCUGCCCUUGACUUUGGGAUAACUUCAGGAAACUGGGGCUAAUACCGGAUAGGAGCUCCUGCUGCAUGGUGGGGGUUGGAAAGUUUCGGCGGUUGGGGAUGGACUCGCGGCUUAUCAGCUUGUUGGUGGGGUAGUGGCUUACCAAGGCUUUGACGGGUAGCCGGCCGGAGAGGGUGACCGGCUAGAGUGAGAGUGAGCGCCGGCGCAGACGCCGGAGAGAGGCAGCAGAGGGGAAUAUGGCAAGGGGGACGGAAGGCGGAUGAAGAAAAGGGGGGGGGGGGCUGGAGGCGGGCGGGUAGGACACCGCUGGAGACGGUGACGAAGGGAGAGUGCGAGGAAUGGGAAAAGAAGAAGCGGCUAACAAAGUGCCAGAGGACGGGGUAAAAUGCGGAAGCGAAAACGUCUAAAC